UGCGUAGGCGGCGCGGUAAGUCGGGUGUGAAAUCUCGGAGCUUAACUCCGAAACUGCAUUCGAUACUGCGGUGCUUGAGGACUGGAGAGGAGACUGGAAUUUACGGUGUAGCAGUGAGAUGCGUAGAGAUCGUAAGGAAGACCAGCGGCGAAGGCGGGUCUCUGGAAAGUUCCUGACACUGAGGCACGAAAGGCCAGGGAGCAAACG
rnacentral:rRNA from 1 species